GCUCUACCGACUCUGCCACAUCUCAUAUAAUCUUUAACAGCCGCUUUCAUGCCCUCGAGUUCUAUUACAGAAGCUCCCUCCUUGAGGCAAAUAGAAAAGUUAGUGUCCGACUGCCUGAACCACGAAGAUCUCUGACGUAGCUUUUGAAGUCAACAAAUUUUACUCCGCCUCUAGCUUCAACAAAUUCAGGCCACUUGACAUCAAGCAACUUCUCGCCGCUUCUGAAGAAAGCCACCACAGAAGCGGUAAUAGAUGAACUCAGCUGAAGAGAUCCUUCCCAUAUCUUUU
rnacentral:misc_RNA from 1 species